rnacentral:rRNA from 1 species
UACGUAGGGUGCGAGCGUUAAUCGGAAUUACUGGGCGUAAAGCGUGCGCAGGCGGUUCGUUAUGUCUGUUGUGAAAGCCCCGGGCUCAACCUGGGAAUGGCAAUGGAAACUGGCGAGCUAGAGUGUGGCAGAGGGGGGUGGAAUUCCGCGUGUAGCAGUGAAAUGCGUAGAGAUGCGGAGGAACACCGAUGGCGAAGGCAGCCCCCUGGGCUAACACUGACGCUCAGGCACGAAAGCGUGGGGAGCAACCAGG